CCUCUAGACACGUGGGAAACUCUUGCCAACUGAUCCCAGGCAGAAGAUUGGCUUUGGUUCUGCAAGCAGCUGCUCAUCUUCCCACUUUGCUGGAGAUUGAGUUAUAUAUACUACAUCUUAUUCACCUAAAAAGAAACAGCGUGA